rnacentral:rRNA from 1 species
AUUGAACGCUGGCGGCAUGCCUUACACAUGCGAGUCGAACGGCAGCACGGGAGCAAUCCUGGUGGCGAGUGGCGAACGGGUGAGUAAUAUAUCGGAACGUGCCCAGUCGUGGGGAUAACGUAGCGAAAGCUACGCUAAUACCGCAUACGAUCUAUGGGAUGAAAGCGGGGGAUCGCAAGACCUCGCGCGAUUGGAGCGGCCGAUAUCAGAUUAGGUAGUUGGUGAGGUAAAGGCUCACCAAGCCGACGAUCUGUAGCUGGUCUGAGAGGACGACCAGCCACACUGGGACUGAGACACGGCCCAGACUCCUACGGGAGGCAGCAGUGGGGAAUUUUGGACAAUGGGCGCAAGCCCUGAUCCAGCAAU